GGGGAUUUAGCUCAACAGCAAAAGCACCUGCCUUGCAAGCAGGUGGUCGUGAGUUCGAUCCCCA
rnacentral:tRNA from 1 species